rnacentral:rRNA from 1 species
GAUGAACGCUGGCGGCGUGCCUAAUACAUGCAAGUCGAGCGAACAGACGAGGAGCUUGCUCCUCUGACGUUAGCGGCGGACGGGUGAGUAACACGUGGAUAACCUACCUAUAAGACUGGGAUAACUUCGGGAAACCGGAGCUAAUACCGGAUAAUAUAUUGAACCGCAUGGUUCAAUAGUGAAAGACGGUUUUGCUGUCACUUAUAGAUGGAUCCGCGCCGCAUUAGCUAGUUGGUAAGGUAACGGCUUACCAAGGCAACGAUGCGUAGCCGACCUGAGAGGGGGAUCGGCCAAACUUGAACUUAGACACGGGCCAGAACCCUACGGGAGGCAGCAGGAGGGAAUCCUCCGCAAUGGGCGAAAGCCUGACGGAGCAACGCCGCCGGAGUGAUGAAGGUCUUCGGAUCGUAAAACUCUGUUAUUAGGGAAGAACAAAUUUGUAAGUAACUAUGCACGUCUUGACGGUACCUAAUCAGAAAGCCACGGCUAACUACGU